rnacentral:rRNA from 1 species
AGCUUGACACUGAACAUUGAGCCUUGAUGUGUAGGAUAGGUGGGAGGCUUUGAAGCGUGGACGCCAGUCUGCGUGGAGCCAACCUUGAAAUACCACCCUUUAAUGUUUGAUGUUCUAACGUUGCCCCGUUAUCCGGGGUGCGGACAGUGUCUGGUGGGUAGUUUGACUGGGGCGGUCUCCUCCCAAAGAGUAACGGAGGAGCACGAAGGUUGGCUAAGCAUGGUCGGACAUCAUGCGGUUAGUGCAAAGGCAUAAGCCAGC